rnacentral:rRNA from 1 species
CCUACGGGUGGCAGCAGUGAGGAAUAUUGGUCAAUGGACGCAAGUCUGAACCAGCCAAGCCGCGUGCAGGAUGACGGCUCUAUGAGUUGUAAACUGCUUUUGUACGAGGGUAAACGCAGAUACGUGUAUCUGUCUGAAAGUACCGUACGAAUAAGGAUCGGCUAACUCCGUGCCAGCAGCCGCGGUAAUACGGAGGAUUCAAGCGUUAUCCGGAUUUAUUGGGUUUAAAGGGUGCGUAGGCGGUCGGUUAAGUUAGAGGUGAAAGCCCGAGGCUCAACUUCGGAAUUGCCGUUGAAACUGUCCGGCUAGAGUGUAGUAGCGGUAGGCGGAAUGUGUGGUGUAGCGGUGAAAUGCUUAGAGAUCAUGCAGAACGCCGAUUGCGAAGGCAGCUUACCAGGCUACAUCUGACGUUGAGGCACGAAAGCGUGGGGAGCGAACAGGAUUAGAUACCCCAGUAGUC